rnacentral:rRNA from 1 species
GACGAACGCUGGCGGCGUGCCUAAUACAUGCAAGUUGAGCGCUGAAGGUUGGUACUUGUCCCGACUGGAUGAGCAGCGAACGGGUGAGUAACGCGUGGGGAAUCUGCCUUUGAGCGGGGGACAACAUUUGGAAACGAAUGCUAAUACCGCAUAAAAACUUUAAACACAAGUUUUAAGUUUGAAAGAUGCAAUUGCAUCACUCAAAGAUGAUCCCGUGUUGUAUUAGCUAGUUGGUGAGGUAAAGGCUCACCAAGGCGAUGAUACAUAGCCGACCUGAGAGGGUGAUCGGCCACAUUGGGACUGAGACACGGCCCAAACUCCUACGGGAGGCAGCAGUAGGGAAUCUUCGGCAAUGGAGGAAAGUCUGACCGGGCAACGCCGCGUGAGUGAAGAAGGUUUUCGGAUCGUAAAACUCUGUUGGUAGAGAAGAACGUUGGUGAGAGUGGAAAGCUCAUCAAGUGACGGUAACUACCCAGAAAGGGACGGCUAACUACGUG